UACGUAGGGAGCAAGCGUUGUCCGGAAUCAUUGGGCGUAAAGCGCGCGUAGGUGGCCACAUAAGUCCGUUGUGAAAGUCAAAGGCUCAACCUUUGAAAGCCGAUGGAUACUGUGUGGCUAGAGUACGGAAGAGGCGAGUGGAAUUCCUGGUGUAGCGGUGGAAUGCGCAGAUAUCAGGAGGAACACCGGUGGCGAAGGCGGGUCUCUGGGCCGAUACUGACGCUGAGGAGCGAAAGCGUGGGGAGCAAACAGG
rnacentral:rRNA from 1 species